rnacentral:lncRNA from 1 species
GUUACGUAACCCCAAAGGCUCUUUUAAGAGCCACGCAUGUUUUCAAUAAAUGAGUUGUAAUCCUUUAAUUUCGAAAGGGAGAUUUUUCGAUUUUUCAGCACCAUAUUUCCAAUGGCACUGCAGAGAAAAUAGAAAUUAUGGGGAAUAACGAUAGCUACCAGAAAUGGGAAUGUUCACGGUGAGGACAUAGUAAAUCAUUAGCUCAUUAGUAUCACACAACACUAGCAUAAACUGACAGUAUUGUAAAUGUACAGGCCUUUCGUUUUCGUGUGGAGACUUCCAAGCUGAUCGUGAUGUUGAUCCGAGACUCGGUGUGGUGAUGACGGCCCUGAGCACAACAGAUCACACGCUCUGACAACUUCCUUCUGUUUGGAGCUUUCUCCACCACCACUCCCGCCCCACUUGUAAAAUUUUUACCAUGCAGAUACGUAAUAACUGCAAGUAAAGGCUGAAUAUGAAUACAAUGUGAGCUGAACACGGAACUAUUAAAAAGAUUUAUUGUUUGUUUGCUUUGUAGUUGGGGCCGUUUCUGUGUCAGCUUACGCGAGCGGGGGAAGGAAAGACGUAUCCUAGGCUCUGAGUUUCGGGGCGUGGGAGGCGGGACGGCGGGGGUGUGUGGGAAGAAGCAGCUACUGAGACACCUUAAAAUUCUUUUGGUAACUAUCUUUUUCAGAAAGCCAUUUAAUUUAUAGUCUUCUUUUGGCAGCUGUUAGCUUAAAAGUCUUCUAGGUAACGGAAGAAACCAAACAAUCAUUAAAGGGUCUGAUUGCAGAUAGGCAAGUUACCGCAGGACUGAGGCCCCCUUUGCAGUACAAUUUACCUUUUUUUAGAUGCCCCUGAGUACCGAGGACUGGAAGAGGCAGAAAGGGAAAGAAAACCCCCUUGUGGAAGGAUGUAGCUUCUGCACAAGAUCGAGUCUUACCCUGUCAUCCAGGCGGGAGUGCAGUGUCCCAAUCUUGGCUCACCGCAGCCUGCACCUUCCAGGUUUAAUCGAUUCUUCUGCUUCAGCCUCCCAAACAGCUGUCAUUACAGCUUCCUGGCUUUAUGCUAUGUUGGAAAUAGAUGCUGGAAAAGGAUUCUCGAUGCUGCAAAGAAAAAUUAGCCCUGAGACAAAUGAUCUUUCAGCAAAGCAAUUUUUACUUCCUGGGCUGCAGGAAGGAAGAACAAAGAAUAAAGGGAAUCCACAGAUUCAUUACUCACGCCUUUGGGGUUCUCCUUACUGUUGUGUGUGA